CUGUAUGGCUGGGAAAGCUUUGUCUCUGCAAUCAUGCUACAUACAUAAAUCUGAAGUAUUUUGAGAAUGAAGAGAAUAUUAACAACUGAGUAGGAAGGUAUAGUGAAGUCAGGAGAGAAGGUGCAGAAGGGUUGAGAUGUGAUAUUCUGGAAGGCAAAGAACCUAAAAUUAUAGCAAAGAAUAAUUCACUCAACAAAUCUAAGUAUAAUCCUUCAGGGGAAAAAGAUUAAAUGAAAUAGAGAACUUUCAAGCAACAGAAAUGAAGAGAAAUUUUCAAUUUAAAGAGAAGUCACAAGAAAAGCAUAAGUGACUCUGGGAAAGUCUGGAAGGAAGGAGAGAAUUU